rnacentral:piRNA from 1 species
UUCAAACCCCUCAGUUUGAGUUGCCCGAGG